GCCGGGCAUGGUGGUGCACGCCUGUAAUCCCAGCUACUCAGGAGGCUGAGGCAGGAGAAUCGCUUGAACUCGGGAGGCAGGGGUUGCAGUGGGCCGAGAUCACGCCACUGCACUCUGGCCUGGGUGACAGAGCGAGACUCUGUCUCAA
ensembl:misc_RNA Metazoa_SRP Metazoan signal recognition particle RNA